GCGUUCACACCAUUUCCAUAGCAGUGCCCAGAGAAUCAAAGCCUUCCAUUAAUGUCGUCCGAAAUAAGAUCUAAACAGGACAUCUUGGGCAUAUGAAUUAAAUUAGUGCUCAGCACUACACUUUGCUUUCCUAGAGGGGACAUUCUACAAAUUGCUCUUCAAAUCCCACAUCAGAAACUAAAGAGCUCAUCAGACCUUCGUCUGAAAUGUAAUUGUGCUGAGAGCCAGGUGUGGUCAAAGGCGCAGGCUAGGAAAAGAGGCAGCUGAAAACACCCUAACUAAAAUGGGCGAGCUCCGUCAGACUUUUACACCGACUUCCAGUAAAAUAUUUACUGAAGACAUGGAGUCAAAUCUUGAUAAAAAUCAAGGUCUGAAAUGAGAAGACUGAUCGUUGUAAUUGCCAAAGACAUUAUAGCUUCUGCCGGCUCCGAAGUUGCUUCCAUCAUUACUGAAUCGGUUAUGGCUGUCCCCAUUGCCACUAUAUCCACCACCUGGACUGCCACCAAAGCCACCUCACCAGUGAAAGUUCCUCCAUGACCAAAGUUGUUGUUCCCAUUAAAACCACUUCCAUGACCACCACUGAAGUUUCCAGAAUCACUUAGACAUCUUUAGCUGGAUGAAGCACUCGCCAUCUCUUGCUCAGAUAGGGCUUUCCUUACUUCAUAGUUGUGGGCAUUCACAGCAUGGUAUUUUUUUAUUACUUUGAGAGAGAGUACAUGCAGGGAAGGGACAGGGAGAGAGAGAGAGAGAG